rnacentral:rRNA from 1 species
GAGUGUGCGAUCUUCGGAGACAAGCGAAACUUAUCAGGAGGAUAGCCCGGGGAAACUCGGAUUAAUACUCCAUAAGAUUUUGAUUGGCAUCGAUUAAAAUUGAAAGAUUUAUUGGAUAAGGAUAGGCAUGCGUCAGAUUAGUUAGUUGGUAGUGUAACGGACUACCAAGGCGAUGAUCUGUAGGGGGCCUGAGAGGGUGAACCCCCACACUGGUACUGAGACACGGACCAGACUCCUACGGGAGGCAGCAGUGAGGAAUAUUGGACAAUGGAGGGAACUCUGAUCCAGCCAUCCCGCGUGCAGGAAGACGGCCCUAUGGGUUGUAAACUGCUUUUGUAUGGGGAUAAAUCUACCUACGUGUAGGUAGUUGAAGGUACCAUACGAAUAAGCAUCGGCUAACUCCGUGCCAGCAGCCGCGGUAAUACGGAGGAUGCAAGCGUUAUCCGGAUUCAUUGGGUUUAAAGGGUCCGUAGGCGGGCUGAUAAGUCAGUGGUGAAAUUUUGUCGCUCAACGAUAAAACUGCCAUUGAUACUGUUAGUCUUGAGUGAUAUUGAAGUAGCUGGAAUGUGUAGUGUAGCGGUGAAAUGCAUAGAUAUUACACAGAACACCGAUUGCGAAGGCAGGUUACUAAGUAUUAACUGACGCUGAAGGACGAAAGCGUGGGGAGCGAACAGGAUUAGAUACCCUGGUAGUCCACGCAGUAAACGAUGCUAACUCGUUUUCGGGGAGUGAUCUUCGGAACCAAAGCGAAAA